rnacentral:rRNA from 1 species
UACAGAGACCCCAAGCAUUAUCCGGAUUUAUUGGGCGUAAAGGGUGUGUAGGUGGUUUUGUAAGUCAUUUGUUAAAUCUUCAGGCUCAACCUGGAGGCAGCAGGUGAUACUACAAGGCUUGAGUAUGGGAGAGGUAAGCGGAAUGCCCGGUGUAGCGGUAAAAUGCGUUAAUAUCGGGUAGAACACCAAAGGCGAAAGCAGCUUACUGGAACAUUACUGACACUGAAACACGAAAGCGUGGGUAGCGAAAGGG